rnacentral:rRNA from 1 species
GUCCACGCCGUAAACGAUGGGCACUAGGUGCUUUGGGGAGCUACCCUCAGGGUACCGGCGCUAACGCAUGAAGUGCCCCGCCUGGGGAGUACGGCCGCAAGGCUGAAACUCAAAGGAAUUGACGGGGCCCGCACAAGCGGUGGUGCAUGUGGUUUAAUUCGACGCAACGCGCAGAACCUUACCUAGGCUUGACAUGCAUGGGAAAGCUGGUGGAAACACCGGCCCCUCUUCGGAGCCCAUGCACAGGUGCUGCAUGGCUGUCGU